AACGAACGCUGGCGGCAUGCCUAACACAUGCAAGUCGAACGAGACCUUCGGGUCUAGUGGCGCACGUGUGCGUAACGCGUGGGAACCUGCCCUUAGGUUCGGAAUAACUCCCCGAAAGGGGUGCUAAUACCGGAUAAUGUCUUCGGACCAAAGAUUUAUCGCCUUUGGAUGGGCCCGCGUUGGAUUAGCUAGUUGGUAGGGUAAAAGCCUACCAAGGCCACGAUCCAUAGCUGGUCUGAGAGGAUGCUCAGCUACAAUGGGAAUGCGACACGGCCCAGAAUCGGACGGAGGGCAGCAGUAGGGAAUAUAGGACGAUGGGCGCAAGUCUGACACAGCAAUGUCGGGUGAGUGAUGAAGGCCUUAGGGUUGUAAAGCCCUUUUAGCCGAGAUGAUAAUGACAGUAACGGGAGAAUAAGCACCGGCUAACUACGUG
rnacentral:rRNA from 1 species